rnacentral:tRNA from 1 species
GGCGGCGUGGCCUAGUGGAUAGAGCACGGGCUUGGGUGUCAGAAGGACCUGGGUUCUAAUCCCAGCUCCACCA